rnacentral:rRNA from 1 species
AGCCACAGCCAUAUCACCCUGCAGCCCAAGACCGGUAACUGAAGCUAAGCAGGGCUGAGCCUGGUCAGUACCUGGAUGGGAGUACACAAGGGGAAAACUAGGCUGCUGUUGGAG